rnacentral:rRNA from 1 species
CAAGGUUAAAACUCAAAUGAAUUGACGGGGGCCCGCACAAGCGGUGGAGCAUGUGGUUUAAUUCGAUGCAACGCGAAGAACCUUACCUACUCUUGACAUCCAGAGAACUUUCCAGAGAUGNAUUGGUGCCUUCGGGAACUNUGAGACAGGUGCUGCAUGGCUGUCGUCAGCUCGUGUUGUGAAAUGUUGGGUUAAGUCCCGCAACGAGCGCAACCCUUAUCCUUUGUUGCCAGCGAUUCGGUCGGGAACUCAAAGGAGACUGCCGGUGAUAAACCGGAGGAAGGUGGGGAUGACGUCAAGUCAUCAUGGCCCUUACGAGUAGGGCUACACACGUGCUACAAUGGCGCAUACAAAGAGAAGCGACCUCGCGAGAGCAAGCGGACCUCAUAAAGUGCGUCGUAGUCCGGAUCGGAGUCUGCAACUCGACUCCGUGAAGUCGGAAUCG